AUACGAAGGGUGCUAGCGUUGUUCGGAAUUACUGGGCGUAAAGGGCGUGUAGGCGGCGCAUCAAGUUGGAGGUGAAAUCCCGGGGCUUAACCUCGGAAUUGCCUUCAAGACUGGUGUGCUUGGAUCCAGAAGAGGAGUGUGGAAUAUCCAGUGUAGAGGUGAAAUUCGUAGAUAUUGGAUAGAACACCAGUGGCGAAGGCGGCACUCUGGUCUGGCAUCGACGCUGAGGCGCGAAAGCGUGGGGAGC
rnacentral:rRNA from 1 species